rnacentral:misc_RNA from 1 species
AUCGCUUGUUGGACCCUAUAUUGCUCGUCGAGUGUGACCGUCACUGCGACUGCCCCACGGCAUACGAGCACGCACCUGCGACGUCUCAUCGCCGCACACGUGACACACAUUGCAAAGAAAUCGAAAAAAAAAUGAAGCAGUAUGCAAAGAUUUUGGAGCCGCUUGAUCUCGGUUUUGCGAAGCUGCGCAAUCGCGUCGUGAUGGCCAGCAUGCACACGGGAUUGGAGUCACCGAUACACGCGACUCGUUCCGCCGCAGCCGCUGAAGGCAACCCGUACGCGCGUCUCGCACGCUUCUAUAGGGAGAGGGCGAAAGGCCAGGCCGGGCUCAUCGUCACAGGCGGCUUCUCGCCCAGCGCUGAGGGCGUUUUGUAUCCUGGUGAGAGCGUGCUAGGCCCGAAGGAUGCCGACCAGCUGCGGUGUGUCACCGACGCGGUGCACGUCGAGGGCGGGCACAUUUUGCUGCAAAUGCUGCACUCCGGCCGCUACUCCACCGGCGAUCAGUGCGUGGCACCGUCGCCGAUUCCGAGCCAGAUCUCUCCCACGCAGAAGGUGCCGGUGGAGAUGAGUGUCGCACUCAUCCAACGGACGGUCGAGGACUUUGCUCGCCUUGCGAUCUGCGCUCAGAAGGCGGGCUUCGAUGGGGUGGAGAUUAUGGGUUCCGAAGGCUACCUGCUGAAUCAGUUUAUCGCCCGGCACACAAAUCACCGCACCGACGACUACGGCGGUAGCUUCGAGAACCGCAUCCGCUUUCCACUGGAGGUGCUCCGCGCAGUGCGGGAUGCCACGGGGCCGAACUUCAUCAUCGCGUUCCGCGUGUCACUUCUGGAUCUCGUCCCCAACGGCUCGACGCAGGCGGAGGUUUUUGAGCUGGCGGAGAAGGUAUCCAAAUCUGGGGCGAACAUCAUCGACAGCGGCAUUGGCUGGCACGAGUCCCGCGUGCCGACCAUCGCUACUUCCGUGCCGCGUGCGGGGUACACCUGGGCCACAGCGGCGGUCCGGUCGCAUCUUCGCCGUCAAGGCAUCCACAUCCCUCUUAUUGCGGUAAAUCGAAUGAACCACCCUGACAUUCUGGAGCAAGUGCUGGAGAACGGCGAUGCGGACCUCGUCGCUAUGGCGCGCCCCUUCCUCAGUGAUCCAUACUUUGUGAAGAAGACAAUGUCAGGCGCGGCCGAUCGCAUCAACAUCUGCAUCGCCUGCAACCAGGCCUGCCUGGACAACAUCUUCACUGGAAAGACGGCCUGCUGCAUGCUCAACCCACUGGCCGCGCAUGAGGCGGAACGCGCAGCGUUACCCGCGCCCGCCGCGAAGAAGGUAGCCGUAAUCGGCGGCGGCCCCGCUGGCGCGUCCGCCGCGAUCACGCUAGCCGAUCGCGGCCACCACGUCACGCUGUACGAGGCAAACUCGGUGCUGGGCGGCCAGUUCAACCUCGCAAAGCGCAUCCCCGGCAAGGAGGAGUUCCAGAGCAGCAUCGACUACUGGACAAAUACGCUGAAGAAGCACGCGAAUGUGACGCUGAAGUUGAGCAAGCGCGCGACCGUGGAGGAGGUUGCAACCGGCGGCUACGACGAGGUGGUGGUGGCAACCGGGUGUGAGCCGCACGCCAAAUCAGGUGCGCUCAUUGCCGGCAUGGAGAAGUAUCCCAACGUCUUCUCGUACACCGAGGCACUCCUGCAUCCGGAGAAGGUGGGCCGUCGGGUGGCCGUCAUCGGUGCUGGUGGCAUUGGCUUCGACAUGGCAGAGUUCCUCACUUCCCCGCACAGCACCUCGGCGAAGACGGUCGCCGCGGCGCAGUACACCAAGUUUGAAAAGCAGGAUAACGCCGAGUUCCGAAAGAAGUGGGGCAUCAAGUCUGCUGCCAUUGCGCAGGAAGAAGAGAAGGCUGGCACAUCCACCGGCGCAAGCGGCAGCAACAGCUGCUCACCCCUUCCAGGCGGUCUCGUGAAGCCUGUGACUCCUCGUCCUUACCGCGAGGUGACCAUGUUCCAGCGCACCCGUGGGAAACUCGGCGCACAUCUUGGUGCGACGACCGGGUGGAUCCAUCGUCUUGAGAUUCGCAUGAACCGCGUCAAGGCAGUGGAUGGGGUUACUUACAAGAGCUUCGACGGCACAAACCUCGUUUACGUUGAUAAGGAGGGCAAGGAACAGACACUGGCAGUGGACUCCGUCGUGCUAUGCACUGGGCAAGUCUCAAACAAGGAGUUUGAGAAGGCCGCAACGCCGGUUCUGUCGAAUCUGCAUACGAUAGGGGGCUGCAACUUCACCAAGAAGUUGGAUGCGAAACUGGCCAUUCUGCAAGCUCACAGCGUGGCGAUACGUCUGUGAGGGUGGGCUUGUUUGCCGUCACAGUACGGCACAGUGCUAGCGGGUCAAGUGCGAUGUCUCUUCCUCUUCUUGGCCGUUCGAUUUCUUUGCUCUUGUACGUGGCGGAAG